rnacentral:lncRNA from 1 species
CUGUGCCCAGCACCGUGGCCCUGCUGCCCCCCACAGCCACUGAGAGUGAGCAAGGGCUGCCCUGGGGCAGGGAGGGCCGCAAGGGCUCCUGGGUCUUGAGCCUCCCCAAUCACAUCCCAUUUUUCCCAGGCCUGGCUCCAUCCAACACAUUCGUGGCUCCCCAGCCAGUUGUGGUCGCCAGCCCGGCCAAGCUGCAAGCUGCAGCUACCCCGACCGAAGUGGCCAAUGGCAUCGAGUCCCUGGGUGUGAAGCCAGACUUGCCGCCUCCACCCAGCAAGGCCCCUGUGAAGAAAGAGAACCAGUGGUUUGAUGUGGGGGUCAUUAAAGGCACCAAUGUAAUGGUGACACACUAUUUCCUGCCACCAGAUGACGCUGUCCCCUUGGAUGAAGGUUUGGGCGCCGUCCCUGAUUACAGCCAGCUGAAGAAGCAGGAGCUGCAGCCAGGCACAGCCUAUAAGUUCCGAGUUGCCGGCAUCAACGCCUGCGGCCGGGGGCCCUUCAGUGAGAUCUCCGCUUUUAAGACAUGUCUGCCGGGUUUCCCGGGGGCCCCUUGUGCCAUUAAAAUCAGCAAAGUGAGUCUUGCCAUGGGGUGGGCCCAUGCCCGUGCAGGUGGGGGGCCCAGGAGGCUCCCAGGGCAGAGGCAGUCGCCUGGCGGGUGGUAUCCAGGGCACAGGGAGGGCCUCCGCCCAGCCUCAGUCUCCUCUGCAGCAUGCUGGCUGUUGCCCUGUGCCGUUCAGUGUGCUCUGCCCUUGGCCCAGAGACAUCCCCGGGGGUCAGGGUUCCUUGUGAGCUCCGUGCUUGAGUGCAGAAGCGCGGGACAGGUCCCAUCUGGGCGGAGGGGCAUGGGGUGGGGGGCGGCCUUGAGGCUUCACUCAGGGCAGGUCACCAUGAGCCGGGACAGGCNNNNNNNNNNNNNNNNNNNNNNNNNNNNNNNNNNNNNNNNNNNNNNNNNNNNNNNNNNNNNNNNNNNNNNNNNNNNNNNNNNNNNNNNNNNNNNNNNNNNNNNNNNNNNNNNNNNNNNNNNNNNNNNNNNNNNGGCCAUCCAGAGCUCGCAGGCAGGCGGCGAGGCCAAGAGCUCCGCGCCAGCGCAGCUGGCCUUCAUGCGUGUGUACUGCGGGCCCAGCCCCUCGUGCCUCGUGCAGUCCUCCAGCCUCUCCAAUGCCCACAUUGACUACACCACCAAGCCCGCCAUCAUCUUUCGCAUCGCCGCACGCAACGAGAAGGGCUACGGCCCUGCCACGCAAGUCAGGUGGCUGCAAGAGACCAGUAAAGACAGCUCGGGCAGCAAGCCAGCCAGCAAGCGGCCCAUGUCCUCUCCGGAAAUGAAAUCUGCUCCAAAGAAGUCGAAGGCGGAUGGUCAGUGAGAAGCAGCUGGCUGAACCGAGACCCUCCUGGACCCUCUGGCCCGCCUGGCACGCGCACUCCCGCCACUGCUGCCCGCUGCCCCUCCUUGCCCCUGUUUCCGCUCCAAUGUGAAGAAAGCACACGGCUGGCCGCUGCUGUCGCUGUUGCGGAGCAGAGAGCCUGUGAGAGUCGUGUUCCCCCUUCCUCUGCCCUCCUGGCCCAGGGGCUGGGAUUCAGGGGCCUGUGGAGGAGAGGCCACCACUGCACCCACCACUCAGAGGCUGCGCACGCACGUGUCCUGGUUCCUCGCUCUCAUUUGUCACCUGGUGUUUGCAGCCACCCCUCCCUCAGGCUUAGCCACCCUCCACAAACUGCAGAAAGCACCUCUUUCUCAGGCCUUCUGCCUGCCAUCUCCCCCUCCCUCCCGCUUUAUAGAAGGAAGGAAGAAGGCCAAGGAGGGGCGAGAGGGGCCCUAGGGCCGGAGCAGUGCCUGUUGCCCUCCGGCCUGCGGGCGCAGAGUGGCCCUACUAGCCUGGUUCCGCCCUGCCCGGCUUGGCACGGGCCACGUCACCAACUGCUGCAUUUGUUGUAUUUUUUUAAGUUGAAAUUGAUGAAGCUAACAUUUUUAUUGUAAUUUUAGCCUUAGCGUGUGGGGCUUUGUCCCUUUUUUGUUGUUAGCCGUGUACAGAAUGUAUCUUUUUUCUUUCUUCCCCUUUUUUUUAAAACUUCUUUUCUCCUUGGCUAACCCUUGGCAGGGAUGUUUGGGGAGGAAAAGCGGGGCAGCUGGGGCUGGAGAGGUGCGGAAGGGGCCUCCUUUGCUCCCUCUUGGGGCUUGGCCACCCAGCCCAGGCUCCUCUGCUCCGCCUGUCCCCAGGCCUCUGGGGACAGCCGAGCAGAACUGUGACACCACCCUCCCAGGGUGAGCACUUCCCGUGGAGAGGGACUGGAGGGCCCAGGCAAGUGGCCCUGCAGCUCGGCUCGGCUCACAGUGCCGUCCUGGCUGAGCCCCACUCCCCAGAGGGCUCACUACAGCCUCCCUGGGGCCUGUGGGAUUUCUCUGCCACCCUGGCUGGAGGCCUCAAGCAAGGUUCGCCAGUGACAGUCUCUGGCCCCUCCAUCUCUGUGUGGAGGUUUGGGGAUGGAGGGUGCCCCGCCCUGGCCCACACCUGCAGGGCCUCUGGUUCGUUGUAUUAUAGUAUAUUUCGCUGUGGAAAUGUCAUGUUUAGUCGCCUUGGAGCCCACCACCCGGUCCCAUUGUUUUGCUCGUCCCCUCUCCUGAGCGCCCUUUGAUUUCUCUUGUUUCUGAGAACAGUACCACCUGUUCAUCUAUUGUAGAGUAACCUGUGACUCAAUAUUACCAUAGUGCGAUGUCGUUUUGUGCUAUUUUGAACAAUUAAAGACCUUUUUUGAAAAAACCAUCUGGUGUCUCACUGUGUUGGGUGUCCUGUGGCCUCUGGAGGGAAAGUUGUGACCUGGGUCACAGAUGAGGCUUUCUGCCACCCACUCCCCUUCUGUAGGUCACU